GAGGAGAGGAAGGCAUGGGUCAGAGAUGCAGCUGGGUCCAGGCUACCAAGUGCCAGCUACUGGUGACCAGUCUCUUUGGCAUGCUGCUUGGGCUAUCAGUAGCUAUACUGACCACUAUCACCUACUACGAGAAGCAUUUUAUUGUCAUCAGUGAAGUCUUAUUGGAAACAAACCCCAUGAGAACUUUUCUCAAUUUAGUUUUGUAUGCUGGAAUAUGUCUGAGUAGCCUCCUCACCAUUGCUGCUAUACUGAGUGUCAUUGGCACAUGGAGAGACCUGGAGAGUGCCAUGGCAGUGGGGUUCCUCUGUUUUGCUGUGGUGUUCUGUGCAUCUGUUCAGGCUGCCUACUGGGCAAUAACUAAUGGUACUGAGGCUGAAGAUACCAUGAUGGAUGUGUAUGACCUCGUUUAUGAGGAUGUGAGAAACAAUUCUUCUAAUAACAGAAGACAGGAGCUACUUAACAUCCAUGAAACAUUUCUCUGUUGUGGAAAGAAGCUACAAUUUGAAGAAGAAAGAAAUAUUGAAAAUGAGACAUGCCAGUCAGAAAUAACAGGGACAGCUAAUGAGCCAUUUCUCUCAAAUUGCAGGAUUGCCUCCAAGCAAUUCACAACAUCUUGAAAAAACACAUGAGAUUUGUCUCCAUAGUGAUGAUCAUUACAACUAUAAUCAUGGUGUAUGGGAUGAUCUUAACCUCAUUCCUCUGCUUUUCCAUUCAUUUUAACAACAGUUUGGAUCGGAAGGACAAGUAUGUUCUCACAGGGUGAAAGAAAACUGUCUUUUGAGCCCUGCCCCCAGAGGAAAGUUCAAGGCCACAGGAGACCAAGAGAUAUUGAACAGUAUGUUGUGGAUGUGAGCAGUCCAUCACUGACCAUUCAAGUUCUUAUUAUUCAAUCUAUUUUUUUUCUUUUCACACGUAUGAGAUUUUAAAUACAUCUAGCCCAACAUUAUACAACCAAGAAAGCUGUGGAGUCAGUAGGAAAGCCUGUACAGACUGUUGGUUGGAAAAGGACAUUAUGGAGAAUUGUGCAGGAAAAAACCACGCUGACAGUAAAUAUAUGAAACCCCAAAAAGUUGCCCAACCACAAGUAUGAUUUCUACGGUACUUGAAAGCAAUGGUUGAACGCCCCUAAAAUAACUAAUCCAAACAGAACAACAUAUCCAAGCUACAAGGAAAGUCAAGAAAAAGAAAACUGCUCAGUUCAAUAACCACUAAAAUAAAAUAAAACAAAAUAAACACCAGAAAGGGAGAAAUAACAGUUGGUUUUAUGUGAUUUUGAUCAGUUUCAUGGUUAGUUGCAUUGAAUCUGAAUGACAUUUUGUAUACUUUCACAAUAUAAAUAAAUUAGGUAUAUCAUAUUUGCAUAACAAAAAAAAUAAAACCAGUAGUGACAGGACAGAGGUGUCAUGGUUAAGGCUGUGCUCUUAUGCAAGUUGGUUUGGAAGCAAGUUCUACUGAACUCAGUAUGAUUUAGGGCCAAACUAGAUGUGAUGGUGCCCUCAUUGCCAUUGGACAUUGCCACUGGCAUUUUAAAGUGCCAUGAGAGCAAUAUGGUGCUUGUCCCCUUUCCCUGUACCUUUGUAAGUGUCAGAACAACCAUGUG